rnacentral:ncRNA from 2 species
AAUCCAUCAAGACCGGCAUAGGGAUAGGCCCGAUGACGCCGGGGCAACCAACAGCGAUGCAAAUCGCUGGAAAGGUGCCAACUCCUACGGGGACUUCGGUCCGCCGGAAGAUGGAUC